UUGGUCCUACGGGGGGCAGCAGUAGGGAAUCUUCCACAAUGGGCGAAAGCCUGAUGGAGCAACGCCGCGUGGGUGAAGAAGGUCUUCGGAUCGUAAAACCCUGUUGUUAGAGAAGAAAGUGCGUGAGAGUAACUGUUCACGUUUCGACGGUAUCUAACCAGAAAGCCACGGCUAACUACGUGCCAGCAGCCGCGGUAAUACGUAGGUGGCAAGCGUUAUCCGGAUUUAUUGGGGGUAAAGGGAACGAAGGCGGUCUUUUAAGUCUGAGGGGAAAG
rnacentral:rRNA from 1 species